rnacentral:lncRNA from 1 species
GUAUGAGCGUAAGCCUAGCUAUGGAAGGUCUGAGGAAGACGAAGGAGGCUACAGGCAGCCUAGCUAUGGGAGAUCUGAGGAUCAGGUUGAGAGCUACAUAAAGCCCAGCAGCUAUGGAAGGUCUGAGGAAGAGGAAGGAAGUUACAGGAAGCCUAGCUAUGGAAGGUCUGAGGAAGACGAAGGAGGCUACAGGCAGCCUAGCUAUGGCCGUCGCAAUGAUGACGAUAAUGAUGAAGAGCGCAGGAACCGUUCUGGUGAUGAUGAGGAAGGGAGCUAUGGCCGCAAGAAAUAUGUAAGUUCAAUAAGUUAAUAGUCAAUUUCCCAUGAUUUGCAUCUAGAUUCUGUGGAAAAUAAGUUUUGAUUGUUUAAACAUAAAACCCUUUUGUUGAUGAUAACAUAGACUCAUCUCAACAUUGAAACAAAAUAUUAUAGUUUUUGUGAUAACAUCCAUUACCCACUUUAACUUCAUUGGUUCAGUAUUUGACAUCUUGUAGGGUAUAACAAUCAUAGUACAGAACUUACAUUGCGUUAUUUGCAUCUAGUUUGUUUUGAAAAUAAGUUUUAGUUUGGUUUAAUCCCCUUGUUGAUCACAGUGUAGCGGUGUAACUCUGUUUUCAAAAUGGAUUUCCUUAAGUUGAAAGCUAUGUUCUAAAAUCCCAUAAUAACGUUCCUGGUUCAAUGUUUGUGUGAAUUUGGCCAUCUUGUACUACUUUUGAAGAUUUCCCAUUGUUGAUUAUAGUGUAGAGUAGUCUCCAUGUUGAACUAAAGUGUUUGUCUUUGAUUCCCUGUAACUCUGUUUUCCACAUCCUGGAAUGGAUUAGCGUCAGUUCUGUGUAUGACAUUUGAAGAUCUUAUUAUGGUGACCGUUAAUAGGGGCAUCAUUGACUACAGUUUUUAUCUUAACGAGAUUCAUCUCUGCAUCUAAAAUUUUGUAGGGUGGCAAUGACUCUGAUGAUGAUGAGGAGAAGAAGCAGCAUCGUUACAAGCAUCACCACCACCAGAGGCG